CAGUGAAGUGCUUUCAUUAGAAAGAGCCCGGUGACAGGUGCUGCAUGGCUGUCGUCAGCUCGUGUCGUGAGAUGUUGGUUAAGUCCCGCAACGAGCGCAACCCUCGCCUUUAGUUGCCAUCAUUGAGUUGGGCACUCUAAAGAGACUGCCGGUGUCAAACCGGAGGAAGGUGGGGAUGACGUCAAGUCCUCAUGGCCUUUAUGACCAGGGCUACACACGUACUACAAUGGCCGGUACAAAGGGCAGCGACACAGCGAUGUGAAGCGAAUCCCGAAAAGCCGGUCUCAGUCCGGAUUGGAGUCUGCAACUCGACUCCAUGAAGUUGGAAUCGCUAGUAAUCGCGGAUCAGCACGCCGCGGUGAAUACGUUCCCGGGCCUU
rnacentral:rRNA from 1 species